ensembl:piRNA 21ur-3990 ncRNA
UGGACAUGACGUUUAACGGAA